GACGAACGCUGGCGGCGUGCUUAACACAUGCAAGUCGAGCGGUAAGGCCCUUUCGGGGGUACACGAGCGGCGAACGGGUGAGUAACACGUGGGUGACCUGCCCUCAGCUCUGGGAUAAGCCUGGGAAACCGGGUCUAAUACUGGAUAUGACUCCAUGACGCAUGUUGUGGGGUGGAAAGCCUUGUGCGGCUGAGGAUGGGCCCGCGGCCUAUCAGCUUGUUGGUGGGGUGANGGCCUACCAAGGCGACGACGGGUAGCCGGCCUGAGAGGGCGACCGGCCACACUGGGACUGAGACACGGCCCAGACUCCGUACGGGAGGCAGCAGUGGGGAAUCUUGCGCAA
rnacentral:rRNA from 1 species